rnacentral:rRNA from 1 species
CGAUGCCUGUCUAAGUUCAAGCCAAAUUAAGGUGAAACCGCUAAAGGCUCAUUAAAUCAGUUAUGGUUCCUUAGAUCGUACCACACAUUUACUUGGAUAACUGUGGUAAUUCUAGAGCUAAUACAUGCAAACAGAGCUCUGACCAGAGAUGGAAGGAGUGCUUUUAUUAGAUCAAAACCAAACGGCAGCAGUUAAGUUUUCGGACUUGACUGUGUUGUCGAUGUAAUGAUUGGUGACUCUGAAUAACUUUAUGCUGAUCGCACGGUCUUGUACCGGCGACGCAUCUUUCAAAUGUCUGCCUUAUCAACUGUCGAUGGUAAGAUCUGCGCUUACCAUGGUUGUAACGGGUAACGGGGAAUCAGGGUUCGAUUCCGGAGAGGGAGCCUGAGAAACGGCUACCACAUCCAAGGAAGGCAGCAGGCGCGCAAAUUACCCACUCCCGGCACGGGGAGGUAGUGACGAAAAAUAACGAUACGGGACUCAUCCGAGGCCCCGUAAUCGGAAUGAGUACACUUUAAAUCCUUUAACAAGGACCAAUUGGAGGGCAAGUCUGGUGCCAGCAGCCGCGGUAAUUCCAGCUCCAAUAGCGUAUAUUAAAGUUGUUGCGGUUAAAAAGCUCGUAGUUGAAUCUGUGUCCCGUGCUGUCGGUUCACCGCUCGUCGGUGAUCACUGGCAUGUUCACGGGACGUCCUGCCGGUGGAUGUGUGUGUUUGAUACAGAGUCUCUAUUAUGUCAGCAUAUAUAUGUAUGCGCGUCGUCUCUAUUUCUUAAUGGAGGUCGAUGCAGUAUGUAUAUGUUGCGGUAAUGGGUAUCGGCGCGUAUUCAAUCACCGUCCUAGUAAUAUAUCCUGUCGCAGUGCUCUUAAUUGAGUGUUGAGGCGGGCCGGCACGUUUACUUUGAACAAAUUAGAGUGCUUAAAGCAGGCUUAUUUAUGCCUGAAUAUUGUGUGCAUGGAAUAAUGGAACAGGACCUCGGUUCUAUUUUGUUGGUUUUCGGAAUAAUCCGAGGUAAUGAUUAAUAGGGACAGAUGGGGGCAUUCGUAUUGCAACGUUAGAGGUGAAAUUCUUGGAUCGUUGCAAGACGGACUAAAGCGAAAGCAUUUGCCAAAGAUGUUUUCAUUAAUCAAGAACGAAAGUCAGAGGUUCGAAGGCGAUCAGAUACCGCCCUAGUUCUGACCAUAAACGAUGCCAGCUAGCGAUCCGCCGACGUUCCUCCGAUGACUCGGCGGGCAGCUUCCGGGAAACCAAAGCUUUUGGGUUCCGGGGGAAGUAUGGUUGCAAAGCUGAAACUUAAAGGAAUUGACGGAAGGGCACCACCAGGAGUGGAGCCUGCGGCUUAAUUUGACUCAACACGGGAAACCUCACCAGGCCCAGACACUGGAAGGAUUGACAGAUUGAGAGCUCUUUCUUGAUUCAGUGGGUGGUGGUGCAUGGCCGUUCUUAGUUGGUGGAGCGAUUUGUCUGGUUAAUUCCGAUAACGAACGAGACUCUAGCCUGCUAACUAGGCGUAACAAAAUACCGGUAUCUUGAAGGCUCCGACACUUGCUUUUUGAUUUCAUUCACUGCAUUUCUUAUUUUUACGCACUUGUAUUUCAUAUGCAAUGUGUGUUUGAUUUGAUGUGUUUGGGGGUGUAUCUAAAGUGAUGUUGUUGGGUUUUUACUACCGGCGUAUAUAUACAAUCUUCUUAGAGGGACAGGCGGCUUCUAGCCGCACGAGAUUGAGCAAUAACAGGUCUGUGAUGCCCUUAGAUGUUCUGGGCCGCACGCGCGCUACACUGAAGGAAUCAGCGUGUCUUCCCUGGCCGAAAGGUCCGGGUAACCCGCUGAACCUCCUUCGUGCUAGGGAUUGGGGCUUGCAAUUGUUCCCCAUGAACGAGGAAUUCCCAGUAAACGCGAGUCAUAAGCUCGCGUUGAUUACGUCCCUGCCCUUUGUACACACCGCCCGUCGCUACUACCGAUUGAAUGAUUUAGUGAGGUCUUCAGACUGGUACUCGGUGAUGUUUUAUAUAUUACCGAUGUCGCUAGGAAGAUGACCAAACUUGAUUAUUUAGAGGAAGU